rnacentral:rRNA from 1 species
GAACCUACGGGAGGCAGCAGUGGGGAAUAUUGGGCAAUGGGCGCAAGCCUGACCCAGCAACGCCGCGUGAAGGAAGAAGGCUUUCGGGUUGUAAACUUCUUUUAAGAGGGAAGAGCAGAAGACGGUACCUCUUGAAUAAGCCACGGCUAACUACGUGCCAGCAGCCGCGGUAAUACGUAGGUGGCAAGCGUUGUCCGGAUUUACUGGGUGUAAAGGGCGUGCAGCCGGGAAGACAAGUCAGAUGUGUAAUCCCGCGGCUCCACCCCUGAACUGCAGUUGAAACUGUUUUUCUUGAGUACCGGAGA